rnacentral:rRNA from 1 species
AGUGAACGCUGGCGGUAGGCCUAACACAUGCAAGUCGAACGGCAGCACAGUAAGAGCUUGCUCUUACGGGUGGCGAGUGGCGGACGGGUGAGGAAUACAUCGGAAUCUACUUUUUCGUGGGGGAUAACGUAGGGAAACUUACGCUAAUACCGCAUACGACCUACGGGUGAAAGUAGGGGAUCUUCGGACCUUGCGCGAUUGAAUGAGCCGAUGUCGGAUUAGCUAGUUGGCGGGGUAAAGGCCCACCAAGGCGACGAUCCGUAGCUGGUCUGAGAGGAUGAUCAGCCACACUGGAACUGAGACACGGUCCAGACUCCUACGGGAGGCAGCAGUGGGGAAUAUUGGACAAUGGGCGCAAGCCUGAUCCAGCCAUACCGCGUGGGUGAAGAAGGCCUUCGGGUUGUAAAGCCCUUUUGUUGGAAAGAAAAGCAGCAGGUUAAUACCCCGCUGUUCUGACGGUACCCAAAGAAUAAGCACCGGCUAACUUCGUG